CCUGCUGGACCCCAAAAUCGCCGGCCUGGUGUCGGCCGAGCUCGCCCGCUCCUCGGUCGUGGUGUUCGACGAAGCUCACAACAUCGAUAACGUUUGUAUCGAGGCCAUGGGAGUGACCAUCACGCGCCGGACGCUCGAUCGGUGCCAGGGCAACGUGGGGACGCUGCAGAGCGCCGUGCAGAGGAUGAAGGAGACGGACUCUCGGCGCCUGGCUGACGAGUACCGGCGCCUGGUGCAGGGGCUGCGCGAGGCCGGCGCCGCCCGCGACUCCGACCUGCUCCUGGCCAAC